UCGGAGCGUAGCGCAGCCAGGUAGCGCACCAUACUGGGGGUGUGGGGGUCGUGGGUUCAAAUCCCGCCGUUCCGACCAU
rnacentral:tRNA from 1 species